GACGAGCGCCGCAACGCCACCGGCUCGCCAUGCACUUGGCGUACUUGAGCGCGGAUUUGAGGGAGGAUACGGAGGCAAGCCUUGCUUCCGCCGUGGCAAGGAAGCGGAGCGCCUUCGCCGCCGCGAGGUCUCGAUCAGCCGGACUCCGCCGCCUCCCCCGGCGACUGCGUCGCCUCUACCGGCGGCGGAGGAGGGGGAUUGGAGUUGCUGCGCAUGGAGGAGGAGGAGGAGGGUUUUGUGGAGUUAUAUUUGUAAAUAAAUAAAUAAUAAAUAAUAAAUAAUAAUAAAGUGUAGAUUGGUAGGUGUUAAAAUCGGAACGACGAAAAAUAGAUCCAGAAAAUAAUUUAAUGCAAGAAAAGAAAAGAUAAGUGGAAAGAACACACCGAUAUUUACGUGGUUCGGCCAACGGCCUACGUCCACGGGCGAAGACGGAGCAAAUACUUUAUUAAUGUCGAAAAGACGGAGUACAAGAAAAUCUCUCAAAAGACCUCAAGAUCAAAAUAAAUAUAAUCGACGCGCUACCGCAUAUAGUGCCUCCUCUAAAGCACGUCCAUAAAAUAGAUCUCGGCUCGGCUCGGCUCACCACACGCAAUAUACGGCACUUUGGUUGACUUAAUUAAUUAGGGCACCCUGGAGUUCUUUCAGCCGAGCAACAGUAACUUGGCUAAUUAAUUAAUGCAUGGCUUCACCAAAAUUAGCCCCGUACGGACCACCCAGCAACAUAGAUUUAAUUGAUGGAUGGCUUCUUAAUUUCGUCGCGGCGGCUUCUUGAUCGUCCGGAACCAACAUGCAUUGCUUGGCUUAAUUAGAACGUGGCAUCUUAAUUUGGUCGCGGCGUCAUUAACUUGGCCGUAGCAUGUAUAUAUAAUACAUGUCUCCUAAUUAGAGUCUAAUUCUAAUUAGAUUAGAAUUACACUCCUAAUUAUAAUCCAUAUAUGCCAAAUUAAAUCUAAAUAAUAUCUAAUCCCAAGUAGAUUAGGAUUUAUCCUCAAUUUAGAUAACUACAAAUCUAAACCAAAUAUAACAAUCUCCACCUUGGUUUAGUUUGUAGUUUAGCCGCUGUGUUGAGAUCGCCAUAAAACUCCACCUUGAAUUUAAUUCGCCUUAAUGCUCCUUAACGCUCCGUGUUCCGUCUUCUCCAAACGCCCCAUAGGGCCUCAAAUGCUGCUAACUGCCACCAAGUCCAAACAAUGUUUGAACUUGGCAAUAAUAAGGGACUUUGUAAGCAUAUUCGCCGGAUUGUCUUCAGUACUAAUUUUCUUAACAGUCACUGUGUGCUUCCUAAUCACAUCCCGAACAAAGUGAAACUUUACAUCGAUGUGCUUUGUCCUCUCAUGAAACAUUUGAUCUUUAGAUAAAUGAAUAGCACUUUGACUGUCCGAAUAAACAACCGUCGGAUCCCAAUAAGAAGUAAGCUCUCCAAAUAAGCCUCUUAGCCACAUAGCUUCCUUCACACCCUCUGUCAUAGCAAUAUAUUCCGCCAAUAGAGAAUACAUAACCUGAAAGUGAUCUCCUCCUAUCCAAAUCACCUGCAAAAUCCGAAUCAACAUAUCCAACCACACCAUCCUUACACCUCCCAAACUCUAAACAAGUGUUAGUGGUACCUCGUAAGUAUCUCAAAAUCCACUUAACAGCCUGCCAAUGAGCCUUACCAGGAUUGGUCAUAUAUCUGCUAACUAUGCUCACUACGUAGGAGAUAUCCGGCCGUGUGCAAACCAUGGCGUACAUGAUGCUCCCGACAGCACUAGAAUAGGGAACAUGUGACAUGUACUCCCGCUCAUCAUUGAACUGCGGUGAUAACUCGGCGGAAAGUUUGAAAUGCGCCGCAAAAGGAGUGCUCACUGGUUUUGCGUCUGUCAUCUCGAAACGCUUUAAAAUCUUCUCUAUAUAUUUCUCUUGUGUCAAAUGCAGUAGUCCUGACUUGUUGUCCCUCUUAAUUUCCAUACCAAGGAUUUUCUUAGCAGCACCUAGAUCUUUCAUCUCAAACUCACCCUUAAGUAAAGUCUUCAAUUUAUUUAUCUCAACUAUGUCGCUGGAAGCAAUUAACAUAUCAUCGACAUAGAGCAACAAAUAUAUGAAAGAUCUCUUAUCAAGCUUUCUGAAAUACACGCAACUGUCACGCUUGCUUCUGGAAUAUCCGUAACCUGUCAUGAAGGAGUCGAACCGCUUAUACCAUUGUCGAGGAGACUGCUUUAAGCCAUAAAAUGAUUUCUUUAACAGGCAAACAUGGUCCUCCUUCCCUUCAACAAUGAAUCCCUCCGGCUGUUUCAUAUAAAUUUGCUCCUCAAGUUCUCCAUGCAGAAAAGCUGUCUUAACAUCAAGCUGCUCAAGAUACAGGUCAUUCAUAGUUACCAAUGAUAAAAGAACACGAAUAGAAGUAUGCUUUACGACGGGUGAGAAAAUAUCAUUAAAGUACACACCUUCUACCUGACUGUAGCCCUUAGCAACUAAACGAGCUUUAUACCUUGUAUCUUCCACGCCGGGGAUUCCGUCCUUUUUCUUGAAGACCUACUUACAGCCGACAAUUUUCUUGCCUGUAGGCGGUUUUACCAACUCCCAUGUGCGAUUCUUAUGAAGAGACUCCAUCUCCUCAUUCAUCGCCACAAACCACUCUGCAGAACUGGCACCGGAAAUAGCUUGAUUAUAUGUCGAAGGUUCACCUUCUUCUUCUAUAUCUUGUGCCACUGAAAGAGCGUAAGCAACCAUAUCUUCAUAACCGUAUCUCUGCGGUGGUUUAAUCUGUCUCCUCGAUCUGCCUGUAGCAAUGCUCUGCCUCUCAACUUGUGGGGUUUUAAUUACUGAGGUGUCUGUCAACUGAAUUUGUUCUGAUUGAGAAGAAUUCUGCGACUGAACUAUACCAUCGGUCUCACCUCCACCUGCUUGCUAGCACUCGGGGUCUCAUCAGAAAAAUUACGGUUAGGAUAUAACAUAACAGAUUCAUCAAAUGUGACAUCCCUACUAAUAAUUAAUUUAGACGAUUCAAGACACCACAAUCUAUAUCCCUUAAUCCCCAAUGCAUAACCAAUAAAAAUGCACUUUUUAGCCCUAGGUUCUAACUUGCCUUCAUUAACAUGAACAUAAGCAGGACAACCAAAUAUUCGCAAAUUAGAAUAAUCAGAAGGGCUACCAGACCAUACCUCCUCCGGUGUUUUGCAAUCAAGUGCUGAAUGUGGAGAUCGAUUCACCAAAUAGCAUGCCGUAGAGAUCGCCUCUGCCCAGAAACUCUUAGCUAAGCCAGCAUUAGAAAGCAUACAACGGGCCCUCUCCAAAAGAGUUCUAUUCAUCUGUUCGGCCACCCCAUUUUGCUGUGGAGUAUGCCUAACGGUCUUAUGUCGAACGAUCCCUUCCUUCUUGCAGAAUUCUUCAAACUCUGACGAGCAGAAUUCCAAACCAUUGUCGGUCCUUAAUCUCUUAAUCUUCUUUUCAGUUUGUUUCUCAAUCAUAACCUUCCACUGCUUGCAAUAAUUAAACACCCCAUCCUUACUUUUCAGAAAGAACACCCACACUUUACGAGAAUAAUCGUCAAUAAAAGUCAACAUAUAUCUAGCACCACCAUGAGUAAGAGUACGAGAGGGUCUCCAAAGAUCAGAAUGGAUGUAGUCCAGAGUGCCUUUUGUUUGGUGAACUGCGGCCUUAAAGCUGACUCUCUUUUGUUUGCCAAGAACACAAUGCUCGCAGAAGUCCAACUUUUCUAAACUCUGACUACCAAGUAAACCUCUCUCGCCCAACUUCAUCAUGCCAUAUUCACUCAUAUGGCCCAGUCGCAUAUGCCAUAAUUUGGUGCUAUCCGAAUCUGACAUAGAAGAAGAAGUCACCGCUGCUGAACCUGUCACAGUGGAACCCUGUAGAACAUAUAACAUGUCGGACAAGUUGGCCUUCAUCACUACAAGAUUCCCUUUAACGACCUUCAUUAAUCCAUCAGCUGAAGAAUAUUUAAAGCCUUUAAUAUCAAGUGUACCAGAUGAGAUCAGAUUUUUUCUCAUAUUCGGAACAUGCCGAACCUCAGAUAUAGUCCUCACUACUCCAUCGAACAUUCGUACCCGAACAGUGCCAAUUCCAAUAACUGUGCACUUAGAGUGAUUUCCCAUCAAUACAUCUCCACCUUCAAUAGGCAUGUACGUCGAGAACCAUUCUCUGUGUGUACAGAUAUGAAAAGAACAUGCGGAGUCCAUAAGCCACUCAUCCUGUCUGCGUGUCUUAUCCGUAACUGUAAAGACGAUAUCAUUUUUAUCUGAUUCUCCUGCUGCAACACUUGCUUCUGCUUCAGUAUUGGCGUUUUUCUGACUUUAAUUUUUAUCACCGUUAUUCUUCCGCUGUUCUUUAUUUUUCAACUUGAAACAAUCAGCUUUUAUAUGACAUUUCUUCUUACAAUAACCACAAAUCAGAUUCCUGUGCUUUGACUUUGAUCUAGAUGUACCUCUAUUACUGGAACCCUUCUCCCGAGACCUGCCUCUAGCGACCAAAUCUUGUCCUGAAGCUCCACCUGUCUCGUUACCUAUCUGCAUGUCAAUUCUCUCUUUUGAAAGUAAAGAGAAUUUAACAUCAUCGAGACAUAGAGUAUCUCAUCCAAACAAGAAAGUCUCACGAAAAUUCUUAUAAGAGGGUAGUAGAGAACAUAAUACUAAAAGGGCUUCAUCUUCCUCCUCGAUUUUAACAUCUAUCGAGCGGAGAUCCAUAAUAAUAGAAUUAAAUUCAUCUAAAUGCGACUUAAUAGAGGUACCUUCCGCCAUGCGCAACAUGAAGAGACGUUGCUUCAAAUAUAACUUGUUGGUGAGAGACUUCGUCAUAUAGAGAGACUCCAAUUUAAGCCAAAGCCCUGCAGCGGUUUUUUCAUCCAAGACCUCGCGCAAUACCUUAUGGGAUAAACAUAAUUGUAUUACCGUAAGAGCUUUGUCAUCAAUCUCCUCCUUCUGCCCCGCCGUCAAUGAAUCGGGCAUCUUUUCUUUUCCCAACAGUGCCUUCUGCAAUCCUUGCUGCGUCAAUAUAACACGCAUCUUGACUUGCCAUAAUGCAAAACUGUUGGUCCUGUCAAAUUUCUGAAUCUCGAACUUCGUCGUCAUCUUAAUCCUCAAAGGGAAUAGAAAGGCUCUGAUACCAGUUUGUUAAAAUUGGAACGACGAAAAAUAGAUCCAGAAAAUAAUUUAAUGCAAGAAAAGAAAAGAUAAGCGGAAAGAACACACCGAUAUUUACGUGGUUCGGCCAACGGCCUACGUCCACCGGCGAAGACGGAGCAAAUACUUUAUUAAUGUCGAAAAGACGGAGUACAAGAAAAUCUCUCAAAAGACCUCAAGAUCAAAAUAAAUAUAAUCGACGCGCUACCGCAUAUAGUGCCUCCUCUAAAGCACGUCCAUAAAAU
rnacentral:lncRNA from 1 species